GACGAACGCUGGCGGCGUGCCUAAUACAUGCAAGUCGAGCGAAUCGAUGGGAGCUUGCUCCCUGAGAUUAGCGGCGGACGGGUGAGUAACACGUGGGCAACCUGCCUAUAAGACUGGGAUAACUUCGGGAAACCGGAGCUAAUACCGGAUACGUUCUUUUCUCGCAUGAGAGAAGAUGGAAAGAUGGUUUCGGCUAUCACUUACAGAUGGGCCCGCGGCGCAUUAGCUAGUUGGUGAGGUAAUGGCUCACCAAGGCGACGAUGCGUAGCCGACCUGAGAGGGUGAUCGGCCACACUGGGACUGAGACACGGCCCAGACUCCUACGGGAGGCAGCAGUAGGGAAUCUUCCGCAAUGGACGAAAGUCUGACGGAGCAACGCCGCGUGAACGAUGAAGGCCUUCGGGUCGUAAAGUUCUGUUGUUAGGGAAGAACAAGUACCAGAGUAACUGCUGGUACCUUGACGGUACCUAACCAGAAAGCCACGGCUAACUACGUGCCAGCAGCCGCCGUAAAAC
rnacentral:rRNA from 1 species